AGAGUUUGAUCAUGGCUCAGAUUGAACGCUGGCGGCAUGCUUUACACAUGCAAGUCGGACGGCAGCACAGAGAAGCUUGCUUCUUGGGUGGCGAGUGGCGAACGGGUGAGUAAUAUAUCGGAACGUACCGAGUAAUGGGGGAUAACUAAUCGAAAGAUUAGCUAAUACCGCAUAUUCUCUGAGGAGGAAAGCAGGGGACCUUCGGGCCUUGUGCUACUAGAGCGGCUGAUGGCAGAUUAGGUAGUUGGUGGGGUAAAGGCUUACCAAGCCUGCGAUCUGUAGCUGGUCUGAGAGGACGACCAGCCACACUGGGACUGAGACACGGCCCAGACUCCUACGGGAGGCAGCAGUGGGGAAUAUUGGACAAUGGGCGCAAGCCUGAUCCAGCCAUGCCGCGUGUGUGAAGAAGGCCUUAUGGUUGUAAAGCACUUUAAGCGAGGAGGAGGCUACUUUAGUUAAUACCUAGAGAUAGUGGACGUUACUCGCAGAAUAAGCACCGGCUAACUCUGUGCCAGCAGCCGCGGUAAUACAGAGGGUGCAAGCGUUAAUCGGAUUUACUGGGCGUAAAGCGCGCGUAGGCGGCUAAUUAAGUCAAAUGUGAAAUCCCCGAGCUUAACUUGGGAAUUGCAUUCGAUACUGGUUAGCUAGAGUGUGGGAGAGGAUGGUAGAAUUCCAGGUGUAGCGGUGAAAUGCGUAGAGAUCUGGAGGAAUACCGAUGGCGAAGGCAGCCAUCUGGCCUAACACUGACGCUGAGGUGCGAAAGCAUGGGGAGCAAACAGGAUUAGAUACCCUGGUAGUCCAUGCCGUAAACGAUGUCUACUAGCCGUUGGGGCCUUUGAGGCUUUAGUGGCGCAGCUAACGCGAUAAGUAGACCGCCUGGGGAGUACGGUCGCAAGACUAAAACUCAAAUGAAUUGACGGGGGCCCGCACAAGCGGUGGAGCAUGUGGUUUAAUUCGAUGCAACGCGAAGAACCUUACCUGGCCUUGACAUAGUAAGAACUUUCCAGAGAUGGAUUGGUGCCUUCGGGAACUUACAUACAGGUGCUGCAUGGCUGUCGUCAGCUCGUGUCGUGAGAUGUUGGGUUAAGUCCCGCAACGAGCGCAACCCUUUUCCUUAUUUGCCAGCGAGUAAUGUCGGGAACUUUAAGGAUACUGCCAGUGACAAACUGGAGGAAGGCGGGGACGACGUCAAGUCAUCAUGGCCCUUACGGCCAGGGCUACACACGUGCUACAAUGGCGCAUACAAAGAGAAGCGACCUCGCGAGAGCAAGCGGACCUCAUAAAGUGCGUCGUAGUCCGGAUUGGAGUCUGCAACUCGACUCCAUGAAGUCGGAAUCGCUAGUAAUCGCGGAUCAGAAUGCCGCGGUGAAUACGUUCCCGGGCCUUGUACACACCGCCCGUCACACCACGAGAGUUUGUAACACCCGAAGUCGGUGAGGUAACCUUUUUGGAGCCAGCCGCCUAAGGUGGGAUAGAUGAUUGGGGUGAAGUCGUAACAAGGUAGCCGUAGGGGCG
rnacentral:rRNA from 1 species